AGAACCAUGAGAACUAGUGUGAACACAUGGCAAAAUUGUAAUUAUGUGAUAUUUAUUAUAAACACACGACCCAUGUUUCACAAAUCUGUUCACAGUUUUACUUAUUAGGGUUUUAUUCAUGUUUCAUUCAUUGGUUCAGAAUAUUGUAUACAUUUACGACGGCGGCCGACGGCGUUCAAGUAACUCACCGGAGUUCACGGUGGUGGAAUCCGGUCACGGUGUUUCCCGUGACAUUCACAAUGACAACCCUCUGAUUCGUCACUGGCAUCCUCUGAUUCAAACAUUCUACUGGCAUCCUCUGCUUCGUCACUGGCAUCCUCUGAUUCAAACCUUCUACUGGCAUCCUCUGAUGCGUCAUUGGCAUCCUCUGAUUCAUCAUGUGUCGAUUCUCACACAUAUGAUAUUCCUCAUCAUACAUUCUCUGAUAAUCCUCCUCAUACAUCUGAUGCUGACAUUGUUGGCCCAUCUGCUGAUAUCACAGUUGACAGUCACAAUACACCUACAAAUACAGAACAUCAAGAGUUGCGGUUCAUUCGAUUCGUGACUAAAGAAUGGCAGCAAACAAAGGGUCUUGGGUGGCAGACAAUUACAACAAAAAAGGGGAGGUGACUGUGUGGGAUUGGCAAUGGAAGAACAAACCGACAACCGGGGAGGCAUGUGUGGAGUUUAUGCGGCUUUUGGCGCUACUGAGAUACACCAGAAUGAAGACAUGUCAAGAUGGGUGGGGUUGGCACUCGGAAAAAUAAGUCAACUUUCAAUGUUAAAACUGUUAGAGAGGACUUGUGUGUCACAAGCGGGGACCCGUCGAGCGGCUUUGUAAUGACCUUUUGUAAUAACCUGGAAUUGCUUGGCUACACCUAAAGCCAACAUGUUAGCACGGAAAGGCAUCGAAGGCAGGUUACUGACAAAGA